AGCAGCCGCGGUAAUUCCAGCUCCAAUAGCGUAUAUUAAAGUUGUUGCAGUUAAAAAGCUCGUAGUUGAAUUUCGGGAUUGGCGCAUCGGUCGUGCCUCACGGGGUAUGAACUGGUGCAGUCAAUUUCUCACCUUCUGGAGAACCGCGAUGUCCUUAAUUGGAUGCCGCGGGGAACCAGGACCUUUACUUGAAAAAAUUGAGUGUUUAAAGCAGGCAUUUCUGCUUGAAUACAUUAGCAUGGAAUAUAAAAUAGGACGGCAUGGUUCUAUUUUGUGGUUUCUAGGACCACCGUAAUGAUUAAUAGGGAUAGUUGGGGGCAUUAGUAUUCAAUUGUCAGAGGUGAAAUUCUUGGAUUUAUUGAAGACUAACUACUGCGAAAGCAUUUGCCAAGGAUGUUUCAUUAAUCAAGAACGAAGUUAGGGAUCGAAGACGAUCAGAUACCGUCGUAGUCUUAACCAUAAACCUAUGCCGACUAGGAAUCAGACGAUGUUAAUUUUUAAUGUACUUCGUUAGGCUAAC
rnacentral:rRNA from 1 species